AAAAUAUUUAUUAAGCGGCUUUAAAUUGGUGCAUUUUUUCAUAAAGCAGUUUGCAUAACACUUGAAGCUGCAAAGUAUUUGAACUUAAAAUUAGAGAUUUUUUUUUAAGAUAUGGCUUCGAGCUGGAAUGAUUUCACAAUCAAAUAAGGACCAGCACAUCAUAAACACUGAAAAAAGAUAUAAACAGAACUUAUAUUCUCACACCAACCAAACAGCAGAAAAAAUACAAGUGCAAUUACUGGCUGCUAUGUGAACUGUUAUCUACCAAAUGGUUUUCUUACAGUACUGAGAUUUUUGUCUCCAUACUGCAUGCUUUCAACAAAUGUGGUUUGCAUUUCACCCAAGAAACACAGGAUCUCCUUUUUAGUAUCUAUAUUAAAAAAGCUAAGUGUUUGACUUUAAGUUGUCUAUAAUAAAUAGCUGACAGGAAGCAAACUGUUCAAAGUUGGAAACAAAUAAAGAUUUACAACCCUGCAGUGGUAAAAUUCAGAUUAAAUUCCUAAGUUGGAAAUCCACAGGUGCAGAAAGGAAGGGUUUUGGAGAAAAGCAAGAUGGUAGAUUGAAGUAUGAAAACUUUAAAGUGGGUGAGAACUGUGUGGGAAAUAUGAUUCUUUGAAUGUUUCUUAAAAAGUAAGGCAAUGUCUUGUAAAGACAGCUCUGGGAAAAUUACAGAUUGCAUGGUGGCCUGAGAGGUCAAAGAGAAUGCAUGAUGUGCUCAGUUAUCUCUUCAAGAGGAAGGAAGGACUUGGAGAAAUGGGCAUGCAGGUAAAUGUGAUAAGCAGAGAAGUAGCUGAACAUGCAUAUUUGGAAAUCAUGGCAUCCUCUCAGGUGAGAUAAAAAAAACAUCAUCAUUAGCUACCAGGAAGCAAAAAGGGCACAACCUCAACCAGCAGAGGUAGACAAACAGUCAUUGGCCACAUGAACUUCAAGAAAAAAGUUGAGGUGAAGCACACACUGAAAAAAUGGAAGUUGCAAAGACCUUUUUAAGAGAAUGGUUAGAAAAUGAAAAAAAUACUACUCUUUCAAUGAUGGAAAGGCAAAUCAGUACUUCAGAACUGGAAAGGCAAUAUGAAGAAAUAGCUAAUUUUAAUUAUUUCUGAAAUGUUGAGGCAAGAUGAAAACAUUAAGAGCACAAGACUAGAAGAUAACUUUCUCCUCCCUCACAUUUUCUUGAAAACCAUAUUUGUGUAGAAAGCCACAGAGAAACAAGUUUACUACCAUGGACACACUGAACUCCAAUAUGAACUAGCUGAUUACAGUAAUACAUGAAGUGGAAGUUAUGAUUGAUAAAAAUAACAUAAUGCAAUGAACACCUAAGGAAGGAAGGACAGAGAAAGCUGUUGAAGGUGAGGGAAUCAGCCUCAGAAGCAGCCUCUUUUCUACGAUAAUUAUAAGGUUCUGAAGAGAAGUACUCUGGGCAAAGAAUCACUGGACAAGAGCAUUUACCUGCAGAAGGAGCUGAGACACUCCAUGAUAUUAAUUCAGUCAUCUGCAGCAAACUGUGGCUGAUGUCAGGGUUGGAAUAACCCUGGUAGAAAGCACAAUUUACCUUGGAAACAAGGAUCAUGCAAAAGUCUGGAAUCUCGAUCCCCAGAAGAAUGUGUUGCUUACAAUAUAUUGUUCAAAAGGAACAAGCAUUUAGAUAAUCAUAUUUUCAAAUAGAAAUUUUUCAUAUUUUAGUUAAGUCUUUUAGCAGUGUGAUGACAGAAUGUGGAAAAAUAAGGCCUUCACUGCAAGAGAGAUUUCUAGCAUCACUCAAAAGCAAUGGACCACAACAGGAGGUAAACAGAGCUUGAGAUAAUCAAACCUGGUGCCAAUGAGGGAACAAGGAUUCACUUGGCAAAGAAACACUUUUCAUAGACACAGAUUUGCUCAUCACUAUUUGAAUAUGGAACUACGAGCACAAACAUGGGAUAGUCAGAGCAUGUGGCUGCCACGAUAAGCGCACUGCACCAACAGGAGUGGGUCUUCUUACAAAGCAGAGAAGGAAUUAGAAGAUGCAGGCACACCUGAUGAGAAUGUAAACAGUGCUGGAGAAAAGAAUUUGAACCACAGAAUAAAAGAGCUGGAAAAGUCAGAGCAACAACUGAAAGGUGUUCUAGAGGACUAUGUGGAGUCAGAUUCCAUCCUAAAAAACAGGAUGAAAGAGCUGGAGCUGUCACACAAAACACUUCUUGUGAUGAUAGAUCGACUGUAUGUGAAGCUGGACCAGGUUGAAAAUGCCAAUGUGCGCAUUAAAGGGAAACUGCGAGACAUUCAGGAGGACCUGAUCAGCUUGGUUGAAAACCAAAAGAAGUCAGAGAAGAAGCACAAGGAAAAAUUGCGUUGGCUUCAGGAGCAGCUGAAGACAAAAGAGGAUGAAAUAAAAAGCCAGUCAGAAUAUUUUGAGCACUACAAACAAAGGCAGAGACAACAGACAGAAGUACUGAGGAAAAGGGACUGUUACCUUCAGGGUGAGGUAUCUAGGCUGGAAAAGCAAGUCCUAGAUCUUAAUGCCCAUAUUGCUCUUUUGACAUCCAAGUUAGAAGAGGAAAUGCUGCAGCACCUCCAGCAGAAGCUGCAGUCAUUGUGCAGUGGGACUCAGGGCUUUAAACACCCUGGUGUGGAAGAAAUGGAGUGGAAGACUUGUAUUGAAAAUGUGGAGCAUGAUGUGAAAAGCCACCUCAAGGCAUUUCAGCAAAACCUGAAGUCCUUGCGGGAGAAAGAAGAGGACACUAGAAGAGAACAGGCAGACCUGCUGACUGAACUGCAGUUCUCUCAGAACACUGAAGACUUUCUCAGAACAAAAUUGGAAGAAUCUCACCGUCACGUCUAUAGUUUAAAAUUAUCUGAAAUCAAACUGCAGGAAAAAUUGGAAGAGCUUUUAGAUGAAAACAGAACUUUGAAAGAUCAAAGUACUGUGAAGUUGAAAAGGAGUAAAGAAAAAGACUCUGAACUUACAAGAUUGGUGGAUGGGGACAACAGGGUUAACCUGAAUGAAGAUCUAAUUCAGGAUGAAGUUCAGAAUCUGAAAUGGAGAUCAGUCUUGGAUUCACACAAAAGCAGAGCUACUCAAACUCCAGUUGUGCUGCUCUGUGAUAAAGAGUCUGAAGCACCAGCCUGUAGUUGUGAUGGACUGAAGCAGAUGGAAGAGCUACCAGAAGAACUUGUACCUGUUUUGGAAUGUAGUUCCAGUGCCUUUGUGAAAGCUGCUGGUCUAGCUGAGACUGAGCAGGUCACCCUUGGACCACAGAGGGCAAAUACUCUAGAGGACAGUUUCACUUUGCUCAGGUGUACCCCAAGUCAUCAUGCAUCAGGACUGCUUCCCCCUUGUUCUGAGAAGUUACCCAAUGAUGAGACAAGUAAGGAAACCAAAGAUGAAGAAACCUUUUUUCUCAUGGAUGAACAUGCUAUAACUUUACCAGUGAAGACAUUCCCUGCUUCUGUGGUUGAAAUCUUAAUGAGGAAGAAGCUCCAACUCAGCUUGUUUGAAUCUGGAAAAUGCCACAUAACAGCUUUCACCACUGAGAAGAAAGUGAGGAGUUUGAGUUUCUGUGAGAUAAAUACCAAUCUUUGGUCUGAUGGUCUUUGCAUUGUUGCAGAAGGAGGAUUUUAUGACAGAGCUACUGAACUUCUUCAUGGAAAGUUGCCUUCCACUGUGGCUGAAAUUUUCACAACAUCUCUAGAAGAAUGCAACGUGGAAAAACAUUGGGGAAACAAGCAAAUUCUGCCAAAAAGCGGCAGCAUGUUUGAAAGCUACUGUAUGAUGAAAGAACAAGUCAGAAAGGCAGAAGAGGAACUAAAAAUACAGCAAAAGGAAUUAGAAAAAUCAAAAAAAGAGGCUCAGAAGUGGUACAGAGAACUUGGUUUUGCUGAAACAAGGUAUGAAGAAACCAAAACUCGUUUGAUGCAGGCUCUCUCAGAAUUAGAUUGCCUUAAGCAAGAACUUGGGGACAAAAUACAGGGAAAGCAGCACUGCAAAUUAAUGCCUGUGUACACAUUGAAGGAUGCCCAGGAAAAGGAGGUGAAUAAAAUAGCCAGUAAGAGAUUAGAGCAGCAAGUGUUGACCUUGAAAGCCCAGCUCAGGGACCAGGCUGCAUUACAAAAUCAGUUUCGUGACUUGCAGAAUGAAGUGAAACUCCUUCAGGCUCAGCUGUGUGAAAAGGAGAAAGAACUGCAGAAGAGAAAAUCUGAAGUAAAGUUGACUCUAGCUCCUCUGAAGGCUAAGCUGGCUUGCCUCACCCAAAAGUGCCAGGAAAGGAACAGCUUCAUUAGGAGAAUGUAUGAUGAAUUCCACAGGCAAGGAUUUAUUAACUCUGCCUUUGAUGAAGAGAUGAAGAACUUGGUAAAUGACAUGACCCUGGCAGAGUACACAGUUGCUUUUACACCAAGGUGUGAUCAAGAGAUGCUGCCUUCCUCCAAAGAUGUUUCACAGGCUAAUGGACAGCCAGAGGAUCAUGUGGCACGUGCCAAAGGGAACAGGAUGACUGGGUCAAUAUCUGCAAACCCUCAGCCAGGGAUGGAUGGCCCCCACAGUUCUCCCAUCACCCCACACGUGUGUGCUGGUUCUUCUGUCGGAGUAACAAGCCCAGAGGUCAUUGCAUUGAGAACUAAGAGAAAACCAUCUCAAAAAUUGCCAGGGAUGAGUUUACUAGUUGGUUCAGUCUGUAUUAUUUAACAGUGGAGAGAGGCAUCCUGAUGUUCAAUUCAGAGAUGAGGAUGAACUAGGAUGUUGCAAUAACUUACAAUGCAGAAUGCAAGGGAAGAAUGUAUCAGUCACACAGAAGAAGCAGUAGAGCUCUGAAGGAUGGAUGAAAUGUGGUUUGGCCUGAAGGUGACUGCAGCUGCUCUGUUAUGGGAAAAAGUGAGAAGUUGCCCUAAGUUACCAUCUGCACCAUUUUAGCCACCUGCUGUAGUGGAAGCUGGCCAUGCACGCCAACCCAAUGUGUGGUUUGAGACCGAGUUUUGUUUUUCGUUUUGUUUUCUUGGAAUCUCAGCAUUUACAUUUUAAAGCAAUUACCAAGUUAAGCACAAUCUCCAUCUUCAUGGGUCUGCUUAUAUGGGUAUGUGAUAUCUUCAGCCUUGCGUGGCUUUGAGCAUUCCUGAAACAGCCUUUGAUCUGAGUUGGGAUGUUUAGUAUAUCUGAGGAUGUGAUACUUGAGGGUACAAACUGUUUAGCAAAUGAGAUAGAAUGGCAUUUUUACAAGGGUAAGUUGGAAUUGGGAAUGAUCUUCAUGUGUGCUGAGAGGCACUUGGAACAUCAAAGUGCUGUGUCCUAAUACUCUGAGUUUUUCAACCACAUGAAUGGGCCACACUGAAUUUAACUUUCAGAUAAAACACUUGCAGGCACAUAGGCUUCUCCUGAAACAGGCACAUUUGUGCACUCUGGUUGGUAGCAGCACACAUGACACAAACACAUUUUGCAGCCAUGCUGCACAGUAGAGAUUACACACCACAACCCCUGCUACUCACCUCUGAGUACCCUUUGGGAAGGCAGGGAGGUGUGAAUGCAGGCACCAGACCUGUACAUAAGGAGUCCUGUGGGUGCCUCCUUCCAUUCUGUACCUAAAGGCACAGAGCACUCUUGAGCCAGUGGCAAAACUUGUGAUGACCUGAAUGGAAGCAGCUGCUUCCAAACUCUUACCUUGUGAUGCACUUUCAGUUUUGAUAACUGUUUUAUGACUUGCAUUUCCCUUUUUUCUUUUUUUAACAUUGAGCUAACCCCUAGGAUGCAUUGUCUUUAAAAUGCGUAGUUGCCCAUUAAUUACAGAUAUCCUUUAAAAGGAAGCAGAAGAAGAAUAAACCAUGGAAUCCCAAAUCAGAUUAAUGUAAUGUGCAUUUCUAUUACAAUUAGUAACAGGAUGACACGUUGUCAUGGUAACAUGUGAAGCUUAACUACAAGUUCCUAAAAUAAAGCAAUGACAUAUGUGUAGGUUUCUACCAUUUGCAUACUAUCCACAUGAAAACAUACAUAAUUUCUACAACACUCAGGCAAUUAAACCCUACUUCUUUCUUCUGAAUUAAAUGUUGAACUAAAAUAUCAGGCCUCUUUCCUAGUAUUUAUGCAAAAUCUCCCACCAUAAAUUAUAAAUGUUGAUAAUGAAGAUGUCCAUUUUGUAACAUCUUAAGCUUUCUGCCUUUUGGUUUUAUUUUAGAACAAUUAGUGUAAGGAAUGUAAAGCACUCUUCAUUCUUUGUGGUUUGUACCCCAUCAAUCUCCUUGAAAUUCUACUACCUCCUCAUACGAAAAUUGGCCAACCAAUAUUGGAAAAGUCUGCUUGUAAAUUACAUUAAUAGACAAGUGGAUGUGUUUCAUGUGGCUGAGGAUUUGGAAUUAAAACCCCAACUUUACCUGAAAUCACUGGAAGAAAGCAGUAAACUUCUAAUGUGAGAUUGCUAGUUAAGACAGAGAGCCUAGAUAUUAUUUUCUUGUUGCCUUACGGUGAAAAGUGUUGUCUACUUAUUAAAGAGACUGAGUUUCUUUCACUAAGCAGAAGUUAACUUGUUUAAUGUGCUAUCUAUGGUGGAGUUGCCAGGACAUGCUUUACAUGUGUUGUAACUUCAUGGUAAACCUUCAGAGAAUGAAAAAUUUGGUGCUUUGUUCUGAUUGCUUUAUAUGCACAAUGUUGUUUUGGCCAAAUUCUUUAGUAAAAAUUAAGAUGCUGCUAAGUUCUGUAAGGAAAUGCAAUCUCCUUCUGUCACCCUAAAUAGACAAGAUGGACAGUGUUACAUGGAAAAUAUGGUUUCUUUGGCAGUUCACUUAUUUAUGUAUAUUUUACUGUAUAGAGCAUUGGAGGAUACUGAAAGUACAGCUUACAGGUUGCUCCUUAGGCGACCUUUAAAUCCCAAAUUCUGUUCUUCACACCACUAUGGUUGGCAAAUGCUGCAAGUACAAUGAUUGACUCUGGCGUGAUAAUCAUGUUAUAUUCAGAAUAAUGCAGUUGCUGGGAAAUGUGUCACGUACACAGCAGAGUUCCCAGGAUAAACCACCUGCUAAAGCAUGGCUGAUGUUUUGUCCUUGUGGCCUUUUGAAAAGUGGAAACUCUGAUUUUUGUGUUUCAUAAACCUACCUGUAUUUCUCACUUGCAGAUGAAGGUUUUUAAUAUUUGAAUUUACUGUGGUUAUGGGGUGGAGGGAGGGAUAUGUGCAUGCUGGGUUUUGCCACUAAUCCUUUGGAAAUCCUUUAGUGCCUUAAGGAGGCAGAGGGGUAACAGGCCCUAGGAUUACAGAAAGUUGUUCAAACCUCUUUCCUGCUUAUAGAAGAAUUCCUUUAAAAUAUAUUGUGCCUUUGGCUCGAAAUAUAUUUGCAUUAGAAAUCAGUAGCCAUGGGAUUAUGGACAGGAAUUUUUGCCACUGUAGAAAUGUUAGGAAAGAGAGUAUACUAUUUCUUGUAUAGGAUAUCAUCUAAAAAUAUAGCUACCAAAUUCUAUCAUUGGGACCCAUUCAUACUAGGAAAGCUGCAAGUUGCAGUUAAAGGCAGAAAAAAAAAAAAAAAGAAGAAAGUUUAAAUAUACUGGAUUAAAUGCUUGUAUCAUUGAAGUGACUGGCAAAUUUCCACAGGCUUUCUUGGGACCAAGAUUUCAUGCUUGCUUCUACUUGGCUUAAGAAAUUCUCCCACCUGGUAGAUAUGUGGGCAUCAUGUUCUCUUUAGUGUUGUAGGAGAGGAAAAGAGAGAUAACUGGUUUUGGAGUCCUGACUUGAUUUGGAGUUGCUGGGAUCUGUGGUAUAAAUCUCUGUUCACUAUUGUUUCUCUGUGUAACAUAGAAUCUUGCUUUGGGAAUAUGAAUAUACAAAUGUAAAUUCCAAUGUGAGAGGUUACUGCGCAGUGUGCACUAACCGAUGCCAAACAACUACAUUUCUCUACUCUCUGAACUGUGGUCUUUUUCAAAAAGAGGGAAAAUGUAACUAACAUGAAAACCACUCCAGUGCCAAAAAAGCCUGCAUGAGGCAAUUCAUGUAUCACUCACUGAUGGUCCUAAGCAGCUCUUAGGAAAAGCUGAAUAAGCUUUUAACUCAUGAGUGAAUUUUAUCUUCUAGGAAUUAAGAACAAUUUGUUGAUAAAGAGUUAAAUUAAAAAGAAAAAAAAAGAAGAAAAAGAAAAAGGUCUGAAAAUCAGACUGGUGGUGGUCUUCUGUUUUGCUCCAUGUGAUGACAAGCAAGUUUUAAAUAAUUUGUAAAUAGUUAAAAGAAAAUCAUUACGUGGCUCACAGUAUGUAAGACAAGGCCCAGCAUGGAACAGAUUUUUAUAGCUUAUUUAUAAAUUACGCUUCUGUCUUUUGUUUGGAAUUGGAAAAGGAAACCAUGUAAAUUAAAUAAGGAGUGAAGACUUACUGCACACAUUUGUUGACUGAAACAAAAAUAUUUCCCCACCUCCUGAGGUAUUUAUGAGUAAUCUGGGAUGAAUAACGUACGGAGAUUCUGCCUUUUGAGCUCUAGUGCUGUAGAGCUGUUUAACAUUUUUGCACAGCCAACAGUGGAGUGGUAACCAGAAGUCAUGAAGAGCAGUUGCUGGGGCCACAGAUUUGGAUCCAUUUGAAGAGGUACCAAAGAAUGCACAAAAAGUCUGGGAUUUAUGGUGUGAUACUUACUAAGCAGGUGUAGCAGACUGGGGAGGGAGGGGUGUUUGUAAAUAAAUGCAAAAAGCUUAAACUCUGAUCCAUGACCACCCUGUCACUGGGUGUCACAUUAGUUUUGGCUGUGUGAGAAGCAUCAAUAGUUUAAAAGAGGCCACUCAUAUUUUAACUGUUACAUUAAAACCUUCAGCAAAGAUUUCCACUCUGAGACAUUUUCCAUUGUUAUCAAAUGUACAUAUGUAUUAAUAUUCAGUGUAACUAGAAGGAUACAGAAUUGUAAUGAAGUCACAAAGUCUACUUGAUGAUCACAGAUUUGUAACUCUCACAAUUAUGUAAGAUACGUUGACAUUUUAUCUUGUUAACAAGAUGUAUUUUUCUAUGUUAAUUACAUGUAUAAUUUGUAUAAUUUUGUAUAUUAAAUGUAUGCAUAUUUUAAAUUAAAAA